UCCUCUGUAGCUCAGUGGCUAGAGCAUCCGACCGGUGUACGGAAGGUCAUGGGUUUGAUUCCUGUCGGAGACU